rnacentral:tRNA from 1 species
AGGUGAUAUGGCCAAGUGGUAAGGCAGAAGAUUGCAAAUCUUUUAUUCUCCAGUUCGAAUCUGGAUAUCACCUA